rnacentral:lncRNA from 1 species
UUAAUUGAAGUUGACAGAGUCCUGAGGCCUGGUGGAUACUGGAUCCUGUCCGGUCCACCGAUCAACUGGAGGAAACACUGGAAAGGCUGGGAAAGAACCAGGGAAGAUCUAAAUGCUGAGCAAACCAAAAUUGAGCAGGUGGCUAAGAGCCUUUGCUGGAAAAAGUUUGUCGAGAAAGAUGACAUUGCAAUUUGGCAGAAGCCAUACAAUCAUUUACAGUGCAAAGAAUCACGAAAGAUGUCGAAAAAUCCACCCAUGUGCCCUGCCCAAGAUCCUGAUAGAGCCUGGUUCGUGCACGUUUUAAUCUUAAUUAGACAAUAUAGUUAGAGUACUAUUCUCGAGAUGUCAUGUGUGGAGCUUAUUUCGUGUUUAUUUGAUGUAUUCAUCAGGUACACAGAUAUUGAAACUUGUUUAACUCCUUUGCCUCAAGUAUCAAGUAAAGAAAGGGUAGCUGGUGGACAACUGGAAAAAUGGCCUAAAAGAUUACACGCAAUACCACCUAGGAUCAGCAGGGGAACUGUAAACGGGGUCACGGCUGACACUUUCAAGAAGGAUUCACAACUAUGGAAAAGAAGAAUGUCUUACUACAAGACGGUGAAUAAUCAAUUAGGCCAACCAGGGAGAUACAGAAAUCUACUAGAUAUAAAUGCCAACCUUGGUGGUUUUGCUGCCAAUUUGGUCGAUGACCCUGUUUGGGUGAUGAAUAUAGUUCCUGUUGAAGCUAAGGUCAAUACACUUGGUGUUAUUUAUGAACGCGGAAAAUGCCAACCUUGGUGGUUUUGCUGCCAGUUUGGUUGAUGACCCUGUUUGGGUGAUGAAUAUUGUUCCUGUUGAAGCUAAAGUCAAUACACUUGGUGUUAUUUAUGAACGCGGAUUAAUUGGAACAUAUCAAAGCUGGUAAUUUCACUACACAAACUUCUUUAUGCCUCAAUCCCAAGUUAGUGGGGUUCACUGAUCAGAUCGCUCCAUUUCACGAUGAUUUAUUCAAUUUUACAUUACCUUUUCUUGUUACAUUUACGCAUUAGUAUAUCUUUGAUUUAAAGUGAGC